AUUGAACGCUGGCGGCAUGCUUUACACAUGCAAGUCGGACGAGUGGCGAACGGGUGAGUAAUAUAUCGGAACGUACCGAGUAAUGGGGGAUAACUAAUCGAAAGAUUAGCUAAUACCGCAUAUUAUUCGAGCGGCCGAUAUCUGAUUAGCUAGUUGGUGGGGUAAAGGCCUACCAAGGCGACGAUCAGUAGCGGGUCUGAGAGGAUGAUCCGCCACACUGGGACUGAGACACGGCCCAGACUCCUACGGGAGGCAGCAGUGGGGAAUUUUGGACAAUGGACGAAAGUCUGACGGAGCAACGCCGCGUGAGUGAUGACGGCCUUCGGGUUGGAAAGCUCUGUUAAUCGGGACGCGGUACCAACAGAAGAAGUGACGGCUAAAUACGUGCCAGCAGCCGCGGUAAUUC
rnacentral:rRNA from 1 species